rnacentral:rRNA from 1 species
UACGAAGGAUGCAAACGUUGCUCGGAAUCAUUGGGCGUAAAGCGCACGUAGGCGGCUUCGCAAGUCGGAUGUGAAAUCCCUCGGCUCAACCGAGGACGUGCAUCCGAAACUGCGGAGCUUGAGUACUGAAGAGGAUCGCGGAAUUCCCGGUGUAGAGGUGAAAUUCGUAGAUAUCGGGAGGAACACCAGUGGCGAAGGCGGCGAUCUGGGCAGAUACUGACGCUGAGGUGCGAAAGCGUGGGGAGCAAACAGG